GAGACACAAUUUUUUAGAGCCCAGACACAGUGAUUUGUUCUGGUUAAUGCAGAGAGGAUAUUUUUAAAGAACGAAGGAACAUCUAAACAAUUUCUUGCAACUAAAUCAUGCUCUUAUUUACACGAAGAAGUAUGACGGAGGGGGAAACAGAGGGAGAGACUUAAAUAGCAUGGCUGUUUCCACCAUCUUAGAUUGUAUUGAUUAUUCUUUGCUGUAAUGUCUGUCUCUCACACCCGCUAGCUCUCUUUCUCUCCCUUUCUGUCCCUCCCUCCCUCUUUUCUGCCUCUGUUCUGCCACCUUCUCUACUCUGCGAUCAGCAUUUGGCUUUUUCCAUUUGGGGCAGAUUACUGUAACGCUAUUGUACAACAACUUCCUGCCUCUUUUGGCUCUGGUUCUAAAAACUGCAAAGGGAGAGCUCGUGGCUUUAACUUUUUUCCCCUCGGCCUUGAACUACAGGAGCUCUAUAAGGAAAGAAAAGCAGGAAGGAGAUAUGUAAAGUGUAUCUGUUACUGAGGAACUAUUUUGGUUGCAUUUCUACUUAUAAACUGCUGAGAUUUAAAGAGGGGACUACAAGCCUAGCAGAGACAAUGACAGAAAAAAAAGGAUUCUGAAAGAAGAGGGAGAAAAGAGAGCCAGAGAGAAAAAGAGCAACCGAGAGCUUCUCCUGGGAGCAAGCUGGAAAUUAUGGACCUAUUCGAUAUCAGACCUCGGAGUGGACAACCUAUCCAAAGAGGGACGCGCCCUAACUGUAACUAACAACUACUUCUGGCAGCCCCUCAACAGCCAAAUAUAUUGUCCUGGAUCAGGGCAACUUUCAUAGCACAUGGUAGCACUGAAGUAAAGCAGCCCCGGAAAAACCACAUCAAACUGAAGCAUAAAUAACAUUUCAGACUAAAAAUGUUAGUGACAAUGUAGAAAAUUUACAGUGUAAGUAAAAUAGCAAAAACUAUGAGCUGUAAAACUUUAAACUGUGAAUGUCAAAUGAUUGUUUUCCAUACUUCGACCUAGUUUUGUGAUACCCUUGUGGGGAGACAGUGCAUGCAUUUUAUUUACUUUUUUUAAUUAUGGUAUGUCCAUUUAUUUAUUUUUUUCAAGUCUUUUGGUAAUACAGGACUGAAUGGUGCUGUUUUAUAACUGCAAAGAUCUGCAAACAAGCAUGAUUAUGUUAACAUAUGAAAUUAACUGGAAUAAAAUUUAAAAUGUAGCACUGUUGUCCAAAAUUGAGGACAUAAUUCCUUUUUAAAAACCUGAAAUAACUGCGUCAAUUUCAGCACACACUGGAUAUUAUUAUGAAAAUCAUUCUACUCUAAUAUAUAUAUAUAUAUAUUUUUUUUUUUUAUUUUCUGGAACAUAAACCUUGUCUUUAUAACCUGAACCACACUAAAUAUAGUGAUUGCUGUCAAACUGUGUUCAGUUAAAAGACAAUAAACUAUUCUCAGAAGUCAAUGACCUUUAAUAAUGAGAAGAAAAAAAUCUCCUUAUUGGUGACCUUGACUGUUUUGCACUGACUUCAAAAUACCUCCACCCCUUUUUUUGGAGUUUUUUUUUUCCCCUUCAAGGUUGCUAACAUCUACAGUAGUUUCACAAGCCCUGACCGUUUUGUUUAAUUCUGUCUUAACACUAUGCUGUGAGUGCACAGGCCUGGCAUUUUAGGGGCCACGUCACAACGCCUGUGUCUGCAUUGCAGGACUGCAACGAGUCCAACAGCCAAGCAAUAAGCACUCAACGCUUCACUGCCUCAGCAAACAAACUUUAUAUCUGUUUUGUUAUCGUAAACAUGGUCUCUAGCACCCAUACUUGACUGAGAACGACAAAAAUGUAUCUAAUACUUAAUUCAUUUCUAAAUUACAUCACAAAGACACGGUGCGAAUGAGCAUCUGAAUUACUUCACAGCACAAUCGAGCCUCUUCUUACCACAAUUUCUUCAGGUUUAGAUGAAAAAACAUGCAAUAAUUAUUCUAGAUAAACAAUGAAUUCCCAGUUCUGGAAUUCUGUUUAAUGAAUCUGAUAAAUGUUUCUUAUCUUAUGCAAAAAAAACCACCAUCGUUUUAACGGGGAAACAGUACUGAUAUUGAUUUAAAAGUGACAAGGAUAAAGACAUUGAUUAAAUAAGGGGUGAUGGACUGUAAUUGGUUUAAGUGAAGGAUAUUUAUCUAUGUGGGAGAAAAGCAGCGCUUAACAGGACAGCUGCAUAAACAGAGAUUUUAUUACUCAGUGAGCUGUUCCAGCAAAUUUAGUGAUUCUUUAAAUUCAAGUGAAAUAUCAUUUUCCGAAGGGGGGAAAUGUAUUUAAGAUGUUCAUCACUUAAAAAACACACACUUUAAUCAUCAUUUUGUCAUAUUUAUGCAUUGUGUUGCAAUGCACAGAGGCAACACCCAUAUAAAAACAGCAUAUAACUCCUUUUAUGUUUCUUAAAAGUGUAACAUUGUGUGAAAAUAUAAAGCUGCUAUAUUUUACUGGCUAUCAGAGGAGUAUAUGUGGACACUAGAGAGGUUAAAUUACAUGCACAUUUUACCAGGAGAUUUUUUUCUGUGAAAUAUCGCAGCUACACAGGUGGUCUGUGCUGUAUUCAUGGGUGUUGACAACUGGUUGGUGUUUCGUGCAAAGUGUAAUGUCUGUAUUAUAGUAGUUUUCUCCUAUACGAUACAAUAUUGUAAAUAUUGGAGUAAUUGGUAAAGCUGAAUACUGUUUUAAAUUUGUUUUGUUAAAUGUGCAAGAUGCCUGGUCACUUUCCGGCACAUAUAUAUACAUUUACAUACAAAUUAUUAUUCUAUGUUUAUUGUGAUUACAACUACUAUUAUUGUUUUUCAUGUUACUUUAAUGAUUUAGCUGUAACAAGCAGUGACUAUGACUAAAGAUAAAACAGUACAAACACUUAUUUACUGGUGCUAAAGUCGUUGUGUAUUUUCUGUGAUUAGAGGUAGAGCUGGGUGAUGUGGCCAAAAAAAAUCAUAAUUGUUACUGAUAAUUAUCAUGAAAACAAAAUAACAUUCACUAUCA